AUCCGAUUGCCCACCUGAGACCAUUUCUUCUCUUUAGUGACAACCUCAAAUCCCCCCUCACUGGAAACCACCUGGAGUGAAAAAGGAAAGAAGAACCACCUGUCCCUGCACGCCCACCUUGCUCAGUGCAUACACACCCAACAGCUUGCCAUCCACCACUGGAAUUCUGAGCGCGGAACCUUGCAGCUCCCAAAAUUUUCCCAGCUGAUCCAAGAAAUCGAGUUUGACACGGGUCAUUGCCUGGAUGAAAGAAAAUUCCGACAGUCAGGGUGCAAGCCUGCAGAUAACAUACUAUACUAAAGCAAAGAGUAAUGAACUUAUAGCCUUACGACUGCUGUGAACUACAACUCCCAAGCAUUCUUUAUAGGUGGAAAGCUGCUGUAAAUUGUCUACCCUAAUUCUAACAUCAAACCUGAACACUUAUUUCUAUAUUUAAGUUCUACAAUACAAUCAGUAUUACGGCCAAACAUAUACAUAGCCACUUGCAGUUGUCCAGCGAUGUAAAGUUACCAACAAUAUGGUCUAUAACACACUGGACUUUUUAACUUCCUUUUCUCUUUUUGGAAUUGUAGUUAAAAUUCACAGUGUUUUCAAUAAAGUCUAAGGGUUACAACCUUAAGGGUGAAGAACACACA